AUUGAACGCUGGCGGCAGGCCUAACACAUGCAAGUCGAACGAGUGGCGGACGGGUGAGUAAUGUCUGGGAAACUGCCCGAUGGAGGGGGAUAACUACUGGAAACGGUAGCUAAUACCGCAUACCAUCGGAUGUGCCCAGAUGGGAUUAGCUAGUAGGUGGGGUAACGGCUCACCUAGGCGACGCUCCCUAGCUGGUCUGAGAGGAUGACCAGCCACAAUGGAACUGAGACACGGUCCCGACCCCUACGAGAGGCAGGAGAGGGGAAUAUUGAAAAAUGGGCGCAAGCCUGAGGCAGCCAUGCCGCGUGUAUGAAGAAGGGCCUCGGGUUGUAAAGUUCUUUCAGCGGGGAGGCGUUACUCGCAGAAGAAGCACCGGCUAACUCCGUGCUAGCAGCCGCGGUAAUUC
rnacentral:rRNA from 1 species